GGUAACGUUGUACACUUCGAUACCAGUGAUGCCAACUUAAUGGGUGACCACUAAGACUAGUGGUUUUUCUUUCCCUCUAUUGUCCGAAAAACUUUUUUAGUGGCUGGUGGUUUUUUAGUGGUAAAUACUAUCUGACGUUAGUUCAGCUUGGAGAGAACGCUAGUGAUUUUAGAGUCGACACUAGUGGUCCCUGGAAAAAUAUUCUGGCCACACUGUUCGAGACGUCCAUUAUAAAUAAAAGGAAAUAUGAAGUACGCGGAGUUAAGGUGGUCAUCUUUAUAUUCGAAAAGUGAAUGACAAUUGUUUUCUAUUUAUCUCUUUAAACUACGGUCUUUUAUUUAAUAGCAUGUACUUUUAUUUCGAGGAAACUCUCACUGGAAAGGAUCGUAUCCAGCCAUAUUAAAAAACCAGAUUAUUAUUACCGAUUUCACUAUCCGGGUAGUACAAUCGGUGUGCCAGAUAUUAAGAAUGAAUCGGAAAUAAAUACUAUUCGCUUGAGUUGUAAGAUGGCAGGACAAGUACUCCAAGCGUGCUCGCGAUUAAUAAAAUGUAAAAACAUCAUCAUCACUGAAUAAAGAAAUGCAAUAGAUUUUGUGACUGUCACUUACAGAAUAGCAAAAUCAUCUGUAACAAAAAUUGUCUCUAACUUAAAAUCUCAACUCCACUGCAAAUAUUUUGUUUCUUCUUCAAGCCAAAAGCAAUUGGAAUGGCAUUGACAUGGACAUUGACUAUUAUAAUCAAAUCUAUAAAAAUGAGAAUUUCGAGAAUUAAAGCAGACAGUUGGCUGGCUAGCAUGUUCCCUAUAAACAAGUACCUCAAAAAUUGGCAGCAAAACUGUUCAUGUUGUUGUUGGAUGAAAAUCCAUAUCACUCCCCAUAUAACAGUACUGGUCAAAUCUACUAAAAGCGCGAUAAAUCAAUAACUAAAUGCAUCAGAGACGUAAAAAUUUGCGCGCCGGGGUGGUAUGACAAGGCUUUAUAGGGACCGUGGUAAAAAUUGGGCGAUCGGCGUGCCACCGAUUGGUCGAUAUUACCUGUCAGCAUAUGAGUUAUCUAUAUAUAUAUAUAUUAUAUAUGUAAGCCUAGCUUACUUGUUUACAUUGUCAUUAAUAAAUAAUAAGUUUAUUAAUUCUCAUUUAAAUUUGUAAUUAAACUGUACUGAACUAAUUUAUACUAUAUGUUGUAUAAACCCUAUUCUUCUAAAUCAGAGGUUCAAACUUACUCAAAAAGAAUUGUUAUUAAAAUUUUUGUCAUUAUUUUAAAAGCCAGAUUUAGAGGGUUUAGUCUUUCUUAUUACAAAUAUUAGAAUUGAGUAAUUUAGACAGGAGUUACCGAUAGCACACCAGAUAGCAUAUUCGUUAAUUCAUCACCAUGAUUUUAUUUAUUGAUAAUAAUGUUUUUAGAAUUAUCGAUAUUCCCAAGUCUGCUGAAAUACACAUUUAUUACCUGUAAAUAAGAAAAUAAUAAAACACAGUUUUGAGUUUGCUUUUAUAAAAAUAUACCGAUGAUAUGGUAUAAAUUCCAAAUUAUUAAAAAUAAACACUUCCUUUUCCUUUCAUUGUCCGUAGAUUAGUAGAGUUUCUUUUUUUUAACUCUCAAAUGUAGUCUCCCUUAAUAUUUUCCUUAUACUGGCCAUAGUAAUGUCUCUCAAAUGCCAUUAUAUCAUGAUGGAAGCGUUCUAGUCGUUCUUCCGAAUAUAURUAUCUAGACAGAUCCUAGAUCCUAUUAUGGUGAAAUCCGUUAUGAUGUCAGUUAUCAGCUCGUCAUAAUUGGCAACUUUAUCCAAGGAAACCAUAGAACUUUUCUAGGCCUUUUUAUCCUCAUUGCUAAGUAACUUUGGGAAAAUAUCACCAUCCAAAAUUUCGUGAGUGCCUACAAAGAUUCCAUUCUUCAAAUAUCUUUCACCGUCAACAACGCGUGAAGACCAACAUUAUAAAUUGUCUAAUGCUUAAAACAAAUAUUUUUCAUCCUUUUGUAAUCCUGUGCAACGUCAAGUAGAUACCGAAAAUAUUCCUAUAUCACCGAUUUUACCUUUACCUUUUACCUUUACGUUUACCUUUAAUAAUAUGAAAAUAAAAUUUUGUUCAUUCCUGCCAUUCCGCAGAUAUCGAAUUUUUUGUCCUCCAACCCGCUUUCUCAACGCCGGGAGCUUGUCCGCGAACAGAUUAUGAUUUUUCGGCUGUGGGAUCCAGAACUAAAUUGUUAUAGAAGAUAUCUCUAAAUUAUUAUUGAAAUUCUUUUUCCAAAUCAAUGUUG